rnacentral:rRNA from 1 species
GACGAACGCUGGCGGCGUGCUUAACACAUGCAAGUCGAACGAUGACGACCGAGCUUGCUCGGUCUGAUUAGUGGCGAACGGGUGAGUAACACGUGAGCAACCUGCCCUUCACUCUGGGAUAACCUCGGGAAAUCGGGGCUAAUACCGGAUAUGAGCUCCUGUCGCAUGGCGGGUGUUGGAAAGUUUUUCGGUGAAGGAUGGGCUCGCGGCCUAUCAGUUUGUUGGUGAGGUAGUGGCUCACCAAGGCGAUGACGGGUAGCCGGCCUGAGAGGGCGACCGGCCACACUGGGACUGAGACACGGCCCAGACUCCUACGGGAGGCAGCAGUGGGGAAUAUUGCACAAUGGGCGAAAGCCUGAUGCAGCGACGCCGCGUGAGGGAUGACGGCCUUCGGGUUGUAAUCCUCUUUCAGCAGGGAAGAAGCGAAAGUGACGGUACCUGCAGAAGAAGCGCCGGCUAACUACGUG